rnacentral:rRNA from 1 species
UCCGGAGGGGGCUAACGUUGUUCGGAAUUACUGGGCGUAAAGCGCGCGUAGGCGGACUUGAAAGUCAGGGGUGAAAUCCCGGGGCUCAACCCCGGAACUGCCUUCGAUACUGCGAGUCUUGAGUUCGGGAGAGGUGAGUGGAAUUCCUAGUGUAGAGGUGAAAUUCGUAGAUAUUAGGAAGAACACCAGUGGCGAAGGCGGCUCACUGGCCCGGUACUGACGCUGAGGCGCGAAAGCGUGGGGAGAAAACAGG